CUACGUAGGGGGCGAGCGUUGUCCGGAAUGAUUGGGCGUAAAGGGCGCGUAGGCGGCCCGGUAAGUCUGGAGUGAAAGUCCUGUUUUUAAGAUGGGAAUUGCUUUGGAUACUGUCGGGCUUGAGUGCAGGAGAGGUAAGUGGAAUUCCCAGUGUAGCGGUGAAAUGCGUAGAUAUUAGGAGGAACACCGGCGGCGAAGGCGGCUUACUGGACUGUAACUGACGUUGAGGCUCAAAAGCGUGGGGAGCAAACAGGAUUAGAUACCCUGGUAGUCCACGCCGUAAACGAUGAUCACUAGGUGUUGGGAGGCAAAGCCUUUCGGUGCCGCAGCUAACGCAAUAAGUGAUCCACCUGGGGAGUACGUUCGCAAGAAUGAAACUCAAAGGAAUUGACGGGG
rnacentral:rRNA from 1 species